rnacentral:rRNA from 1 species
CCUACGGGUGGCAGCAGUGAUGAAUAUUGGUCAAUGGGCGAGAGCCUGAACCAGCCAAGUCGCGUGAGGGAAGACGGUCCUAUGGAUUGUAAACCUCUUUUAUAAAGGAAUAAAACGAGGCACGUGUGCCUUUUUGCAUGUACUUUAUGAAUAAGGAUCGGCUAACUCCGUGCCAGCAGCCGCGGUAAUACGGAGGAUCCGAGCGUUAUCCGGAUUUAUUGGGUUUAAAGGGAGCGUAGAUGGGUUGUUAAGUCAGUUGUGAAAGUUUGCGGCUCAACCGUAAAAUUGCAAUUGAUACUGGCAGUCGUGAGUACAGUUGAGGUAGGCGGAAUUCGUGGUGUAGCGGUGAAAUGCUUAGAUAUCACGAAGAACCCCGAUUGCGAAGGCAGCUUACUAAACUGUGACUGACAUUGAUGCUCGAAAGUGUGGGUAUCAAACAGGAUUAGAUACCCGAGUAGUC